UCCUUAGUAGAGCAGUGGUUGGCAUUUCAACCUCUUAAUUGGAGGGCUUAGGUUCAAAUCCUCCUCAAGUAG